rnacentral:rRNA from 1 species
UAAUACAGAGGGUGCGAGCGUUGUCCGGAAUCACUGGGCGUAAAGGGCGCGUAGGUGGCUUGGUAAGCGUGUGGUGAAAGCCUGGGGCUCAACCCCAGGUCUGCCGUGCGAACUGCCAAGCUUGAGCAUAGUAGAGGCAGGUGGAAUUUCGGGUGUAGCGGUGGAAUGCGUAGAUAUCCGAAAGAACACCGGUGGCGAAGGCGGCCUGCUGGGCUAUUGCUGACACUGAGGCGCGACAGCGUGGGGAGCAAACAGGAUUAGAUACCCUGGUAGUCCACGCCGUAAACGAUGGGUACUAGGCGUCUGGGGGAGCGACCCCCUGGGUGCCGGCGCUAACGCAUGAAGUACCCCGCCUGGGGAGUACGGCCGCAAGGCUG